CUCCUUUCAGGAUCGCACCUGGAGAGUUUUUAGUACUCUACCAGUAUCGGCUACUGGAUGGAGAGUCAAACAGGUAUACCCAUUCCAUUCUUAGUUUGGGCAGAGGCUAGUGAGUGGAAGGGAAUCUGAUACAAGU